AGCCAUUAGACGAUAUUUAUGGUUAACCUGCCCAAUGUUAGUAUAAUGAAUGGCCGCGGUACCCUGACCGUGCUAAGGUAGCGUAAUCAGUUGGCUUUUAAAUGGAGUCAGGAAUGAAUGGGAAAACCGGGUUUAGCUGUCUCCCAACUAUUUUCUUGAAUUUACUGUUUAAGUGAAAAAGCUUAAAAAUGAUAAAGGGACGAGAAGACCCUUAGAAUUUUUUUUAAAAUGGAAAUUUUUCUAUAAUAAUUUUGUUGGGGCGACAGAGAAAUAUUUAAAACUUUCUUUAAAUUUACAUGCCGAUAUUGUUAAGUAAGAAUAAAUUACCUGAGGGAUAACAGCAUAAUUCUAUAGUUGAGUUUGUGACCUCGAUGUUGGACUAGGAAACUAACAGGCUAGCCGUUUGUUGUGUGGGUUCUGUUCGAACUCUAAUUCCU
rnacentral:rRNA from 1 species